rnacentral:rRNA from 1 species
AUUGAACGCUGGUGGCAUGCUUUACACAUGCAAGUCGAACGGUAACAGGCCGCAAGGUGCUGACGAGUGGCGAACGGGUGAGUAAUGCAUCGGAACGUGCCCAGUCGUGGGGGAUAACGCAGCGAAAGCUGUGCUAAUACCGCAUACGAUCUGUGGAUGAAAGCGGGGGACCGUAAGGCCUCGCGCGAUUGGAGCGGCCGAUGUCAGAUUAGGUAGUUGGUGGGGUAAAGGCUCACCAAGCCGACGAUCUGUAGCUGGUCUGAGAGGACGACCAGCCACACUGGGACUGAGACUCGGCCCAGACUCCUACGGGAGGCAGCAGUGGGGAAUUUUGGACAAUGGGCGCAAGCCUGAUCCAGCAAUGCCGCGUGCAGGAAGAAGGCCUUCGGGUUGUAAACUGCUUUUGUACGGAGCGAAAAGGCUCUCUCUAAUACAGGGGGCUCAUGACGGUACCGUAAGAAUAAGCACCGGCUAACUACGUGCCAGCCGCCGCCGUAACAC